rnacentral:sRNA from 1 species
ACAUACCACUCGUGCGCUCCGGUUCUGAUCGCACCGUCCGCAUCCAACUGACGACUGCUCGCCGCGAUUUUUCAGCC